rnacentral:rRNA from 1 species
UACGUAGGGGGCUAGCGUUGUCCGGAAUCAUUGGGCGUAAAGAGCGUGUAGGCGGCCCGGUAAGUCCGCUGUGAAAGUCGGGGGCUCAACCCUCGAAUGCCGGUGGAUACUGUCGGGCUAGAGUGCGGAAGAGGCGAGUGGAAUUCCUGGUGUAGCGGUGAAAUGCGCAGAUAUCAGGAGGAACACCAAUUGCGAAGGCAGCUCGCUGGGACGUAACUGACGCUGAGACGCGAAAGCGUGGGGGAGCAAACAGG